UGCCAGCAGCCGCGGUAAUACGGAGGGGGCUAGCGUUGUUCGGAAUUACUGGGCGUAAAGCGUACGUAGGCGGACUAUUAAGUUAGAGGUGAAAUCCCGGGGCUCAACCCCGGAACUGCCUUUAAAACUGGUAGUCUUGAGUUAUGGAGAGGUAAGUGGAAUUCCUAGUGUAGAGGUGAAAUUCGUAGAUAUUAGGAGGAACACCAGAGGCGAAGGCGGCUUACUGGACAUAUACUGACGCUGAGGUACGAAAGUGUGGGGAGCGAACGGGAUUAGAUA
rnacentral:rRNA from 1 species